AGAUGUUUGUCACGGGCACRUGCUGGGCAUAGUACCCUGGAAGCCUUUGCUGUUAGUCACCAUAGAAGGGGCAAAGUGGCAGCUGCUCCAGCUCUGGGAGUCUGGAACAAAACAGGUGGAAGUAGCCAGGGUGUGGACAUUUCUCCAGAGGACACCCUCAGACAGUCAAGGCAAGAAGACAGGUGGGCAUCAGGCCUCAUCCUAGCAGUCAGGGGUGUUGCUCAGUUUCCUGUGGGUGGUGGUGGUGGGGCUGCCUGGGCUCUGCGUUCUCACGGCUCUGCAGGUCCCCAGCCAGGGCUGUUUCCUUUGCUGGCAGAAGAGCUGAACCCUGAGAGACUGCACACGGGCCUUGUGCUCUUCAGAAGCAUGAAGUCAGCCCUGRGGAAUGAGGCAGCUUGGCUGGUGUCCAGCAGCUCUAGAGGUGCUGUUUGUCGGGCUCUGGGUUCCUGUUGGCCUGCUUGCCAAGCUUUUGCCAGGGGCCAGAAGUGCUUUAGCUGCCCCAGCUGUGGGGUUGCAGGGGUGAGGAGGGGCUGGCAUGGGGAGCAUCUUGCCUGCAGAGUGUUGACUCUGUCCACGUCAUGCCUCUGGAAGCAUCCCUUGCUGAAAUGGGGAGCUUGCUGGGCCAGGUUGCAAAGACACAGGUGGCCUUGGAUGAGGAACCUAACUCCUCUGGGCCACAGCUCUUUCCUCUGAAAAGUGAAGGGAACUCCCCAUGUAAUAAGUGGCAGCCRCUUGCAGGUUUAGGACAAGCAGAAAACAUCUCAUUUCCCCUGGUCACAGUGRGGGUAAGAAGAGGGCUGCUGACCCAGUCCUGGGGUGAAUUGGUGACUGUUUGCACAAGAUAACUCAGUACACUUCCUUGUUUGAGCCACUUGGAGCUGGGUAUUCUUGUAGCUGACUCGGUUGACAAAAUUGCCUGUGUGUAGACAAGGUCUCAAAGGGAUGGGGGGAUUGAGGGCAGGUGCUUUAGGGUAUGGCUUUCCCCUGCCUGUGGGCUAAAGGUUCCCAGCUGAUGGGAGCAGCAGAGACUCCUGCUGCUAAGAAGUAGCAGGGCUGAGACUUGCACCUUUGUUGUUCUCACUCCAAGCUGGGUGUGAGCCUCUUCAGAUGCACCUGGUAGUUCUUGGGGUAGCUGAGUUUCUGCUAGGGGGGUUGGAAAGGCCAGMAGUGGGAAGGGACAGAGCAAGUACCACUUGGG
rnacentral:lncRNA from 1 species